GGAUGAGCCCGCGGCCUAUCAGCUUGUUGGUGAGGUAACGGCUCACCAAGGCGACGACGGGUAGCCGGCCUGAGAGGGCGACCGGCCACACUGGGACUGAGACACGGCCCAGACUCCUACGGGAGGCAGCAGUGGGGAAUAUUGCACAAUGGGCGAAAGCCUGAUGCAGCGACGCCGCGUGAGGGAUGACGGCCUUCGGGUUGUAAACCUCUUUCAGCAGGGAAGAAGCGAAAGUGACGGUACCUGCAGAAGAAGCGCCGGCUAACUACGUGCCAGCAGCCGCGGUAAUACGUAGGGCGCAAGCGUUGUCCGGAAUUAUUGGGCGUAAAGAGCUCGUAGGCGGCUUGUCACGUCGGUUGUGAAAGCCCGGGGCUUAACCCCGGGUCUGCAGUCGAUACGGGCAGGCUAGAGUUCGGUAGGGGAGAUCGGAAUUCCUGGUGUAGCGGUGAAAUGCGCAGAUAUCAGGAGGAACACCGGUGGUGAAGGCGGAUCUCUGGGCCGAUACUGACGCUGAGGAGCGAAAGCGUGGGGAGCGAACAGGAUUAGAUACCCUGGUAGUCCACGCCGUAAACGGUGGGCACUAGGUGUGGGCAACAUUCCACGUUGUCCGUGCCGCAGCUAACGCAUUAAGUGCCCCGC
rnacentral:rRNA from 1 species